UCAACCUCUGGGCACAGGCCUCCGGUUCAGUCAUCAGCCGGUCGUCGGCCACCGUGCCGGCCGCCAAUCUCCGGCGUCAGCACCACCGUCUGUGAUGGUCGAAAAAGGGGAAAACCCCCCGGUUUGACCUUCUCGGCCCCCUGAGCCUAAAUCCUGGCUCAAAUAUUGCAAAAUAUCAACGAAAGUGCCCCUAAAAGCAGAGAAACCUUUCGGCUUCCGGUCGUCUUUCAUCAGAGACGAAACCCUCGGCCAUUAUGGCGAUCUGGGGCUCAAAACAUAGGUUGUUUCUCUCUUUUUCCUUAUUUAUUAAUAGUAUAUAAACAAAUAAUAAUAGAUAAAUAAAUAACAGAAUAUAAAACAACCUUAGAUUUCGUUGUUUCUCUCUUUGUGUUGUAAAAAUCGUGCUUUUUAUUGAUUUCUCCUUCGGGCCCCAUUACAGUGUGUUCAAUGGCUUCUUAUAGCCGUAUGAAAUAAAUCUAAAGAAGAAACAAAUCUGCUUCUUUAUUUGAUUUACAAAUCUUUUGAUUUGCUUUCCAUUUUUGUUUUCUUUGAUGCACAGGUGAAGAUCCACGGGGAUUUGGAGCUUGGCUAAGUGGCUGCGGCGCGAGACUCAUCCCAGAAACCCUAGGGUUUCUGAUUUCGUGUUGGGCCAUUGCUUCGGGCCUCUGCUCAUUUCUUGGGCCUUGUAUUCUGGGUUUGGACCAUAUAGGCCCACUGUAACUUGGGUCUUUAA
rnacentral:lncRNA from 1 species